GGCAAUGCCCGGGAAGUGCUCACAGUGCCCGGGCACCAGCUCCGCCCGGCUCUGUACUGUGCCGCUGGCUCGCCGCCACCCCUGGCCCCGAGGGGCACAGAGCUGCCUGCUGGGGGCCACACUUUAUGUUUCUCAAAGCUCAUCUUUCUCUAGAUGAAGCCCACAGAGACGCACAGCACGUGAGUAGGAUGCAGUAUGUCUGCGGUAUUAACCUGGGGGAUGCCUGACUGCUUUCCUCUCAAGUCAGGGAAAAGGAAGACAAGUACAACCAAGGACCUCUUUUCCUUUUCAACACAGCAAACCUGUCCAGGACUCUCCCAGAGCCUCCUGUUACUGCUUCACUGGCCUGCACUGCGUCACGUGGCCAGAGUGGAGGCUGAAAUGGCAUCUCCUCUGACAGGCCUCCUGACCUUUCUCUGCAGCGAUGCAGCUGCAGAAUGUAUUCUGAAUGACCAGCGAAAAGCACCCUCCGUUUCCCCGGGACACUUGCCAGCCAGCCCUGCUCUCAUUUUUUUUUCUAGCACUUAUUGUAUGUAAAUACGUAUUUGGUUUACUUGUCUGUUUCCUCCAACUAGAGUCUAUCUGUGACUCCCUGAGGGUUUUGUUCUGUCUGGUAGUCAGUGCUCAGAGCAAUGCCGAGUACAUAGUCAGCGCUCAGACAUCUGUUGAAGCAAAGUGUUAUCUGGGCAAACUUGUGGGCACAGCAGGCUGGUAAUGAUUUGGUAUGGGUUGAUGAAUUCUUGCACUCUAGUAAAUGACCUUUGUCUUUUCAAGUGUAAUAUUUAAUUUUUAAUUAGUUUGGCAUGACAAGUUAAGUAUUUCAAGCAGUUAAUCAUUUAUUCAUUUAAAAUAACAGGUUGUUUUUAGAUAGAAGUCUAAGGAAGAAAAUAAAAAUGGACUCUCAGCCUAUUGACCAAAGAAGCCUACUGAUAGGCUUAAUAAAGCCUACUUAUAUCUUAAUAAGGAUAUAUAUAUAUACUUUUCUAGGAUAACAACAAAACAAAUGAUAAAAGUACGUG